UACAUGUAGUUGGCCAUAGGUAAGAUGAAUUUUAUUAUCCAACACUCCAGGCAUACAUGUAGUUGGCCAUAGGUAAGAUGAAUUUUAUUAUCCAACACUCCAGGCAUACAUGUAGUUGGCCAUAGGUAAGAUGAAUUCCAUAGGUAAGAUGAAUUCUAUUAUCCAACACUCCAGGCAUACAUGUAGUUGGCCAUAGGUAAGAUGAAUUCUAUUAUCCAACACUCCAGGCAUACAUGUAGUUGGCCAUAGGUAAGAUGAAUUCUAUUAUCCAACACUCCAGGCAUACAUGUAGUUGGCCAUAGGUAAGAUGAAUUCUAUUAUCCAACACUCCAGGCACUCAAGGCAUACAUGUAGUUGGCCAUAGGUAAGAUGAAUUCUAUUAUCCAACACUCCAGGCAUACAUGUAGUUGGCCAUAGGUAAGAUGAAUUCUAUUAUCCAACACUCCAGGCAUACAUGUAGUU